UUCCAGACUCCUACGGGAGGCAGCAGUGGGGAAUAUUGCACAAUGGGGGAAACCCUGAUGCAGCGACGCCGCGUGAGCGAUGAAGUAUUUCGGUAUGUAAAGCUCUAUCAGCGGGGAAGAAGAUGACGGUACCUGACUAAGAAGCCCUGGCUAACUACGUGCCAGCAGCCGCGGUAAUACGUAGGGGGCAAGCGUUAUCCGGAUUUACUGGGUGUAAAGGGAGCGUAGACGGCGAUGCAAGCCAGAUGUGAAAGCCCGGGGCUCAACCCCGGGACUGCAUUGGGAACUGCCCCGCUCGAGUGCCGGAGGGGCAGGCGGAAUUCCUAGUGUAGCGGUGAAAUGCGUAGAUAUUAGGAGGAACACCAGUGGCGAAGGCGGCUUACUGGACUGUAACUGACGUUGAGGCUCGAAAGCGUGGGGAGCAAACAGGAUUAGAUACCCUGGUAAG
rnacentral:rRNA from 1 species